GUGUAAUGGCAACACAAUAUAACCAGUUUCCACCGCAUUUGUGUUCUCGGGUUGUUCAUUCGCACAAGGAUAAAGUUAAUAUAUUAUUUAUAAUAAGUGCUACAAAAGUCGUGUUAAAAUGUUGAAGAAACUAUUAAUAAUUAUGUUAUCAUUAUUAUUUGUAUUAAAUACAAUUAAUGCUAUUCCAAUGCCACGAAACGACGAUCCAAACUUCGAUUUUGAGCUGGAUGAAAAUGGCUUCCCGAAGGGCUGGGUUUUCGGAAAAUGCGAUGGCUGUAAAAUUACUAACAUCGGAAACGGCGAAAAAAACACAAACACAGUUUAUAUAAAAGAUAAAUAAAUGUAUUUUAUUUAAUAUAGUGCAAAGUUGUAUACGUAAGAUUAAAAAGAUAUAUUAAAA